AUUGAACGCUGGCGGCAGGCCUAACACAUGCAAGUCGAGCGGAUGAAGGGAGCUUGCUCCUGGAUUCAGCGGCGGACGGGUGAGUAAUGCCUAGGAAUCUGCCUGGUAGUGGGGGAUAACGUCCGGAAACGGGCGCUAAUACCGCAUACGUCCUGAGGGAGAAAGUGGGGGAUCUUCGGACCUCACGCUAUCAGAUGAGCCUAGGUCGGAUUAGCUAGUUGGUGGGGUAAAGGCCUACCAAGGCGACGAUCCGUAACUGGUCUGAGAGGAUGAUCAGUCACACUGGAGCUGAGACACGGUCAAGACUCCUACGGGAGGCAGCAGUGGGGAAUAUUGGACAAUGGGCGAAAGCCUGAUACAGCCAUGCCGCGUGUGUGAAGAAGGUCUUCGGAUUGUAAAGCACUUUAAGUUGGGAGGAAGGGCAGUAAGUUAAUACCUUGCUGUUUUGACGUUACCAACAGAAUAAGCACCGGCUAACUUCGUG
rnacentral:rRNA from 1 species